rnacentral:rRNA from 1 species
AGUGAACGCUGGCGGCGUGCUUAACACAUGCAAGUCGAACGAGAACGGAUUAUAGCUUGCUUUAAUUGUCAGCUAAGUGGCGCACGGGUGAGUAAUGUAUAGGUAAUAUGCCUCUUACUAAGGGAUAACAAAUGGAAACGUUUGCUAAUACCUUAUACUCCUUAUUAACAUAAGUCAAUAAGGGAAAGAUUUAUUGGUAAGAGAUUAGCCUGUAUUGUAUCAGUUAGUUGGUGGGGUAAUGGCUUACCAAGACUAUGACACAUAACUGGUUUGAGAGGAUGAUCAGUCACACUGGAACUGAGACACGGUCCAGACUCCUACGGGAGGCAGCAGUGGGGAAUAUUGCACAAUGGACGAAAGUCUGAUGCAGCAACGCCGCGUGGAGGAUGACACAUUUCGGUGCGUAAACUCCUUUUAUAUGAGAAGAUAAUGACGGUAUUAUAUGAAUAAGCACCGGCUAACUCCGUGCCAGCCGCCGCAGUAA